CGGUCCGUCGCGUUCGCGGAGGUUCUUAUUUCCUUGAACCGAUGCUCAACGAGCUAGGGCCUGGAACAUUGCUCGGCAGGUGCGAUCGUCUCGCGUCAGAUGAACCCGAAGCCUUGCUGACCGGGCCCACCUGAAUCCCCUGGGUUCAGGAAUGCGGCCUUCGGUGCGCGGCGGACACU
rnacentral:other from 1 species